AAACAUGGCCUUAUGGUCUUAUUUAUAUAAGGUCCGGCCUGCCCAAUGAUAUAUUUUAAUGGCCGCAGUAUUUUGACUGUGCAAAGGUAGCAUAAUCAUUUGUCUUUUAAUUGAAGGCUUGUAUGAAAGGUUAGAUGAAAGGACUCCUUUCUUUAUACUAAAUAUUGAAUUUAAUUUUUCAGUUAAAAAGCUGAAAUUUUUUAAUGGGACGAGAAGACCCUAUAGAAUUUUAUUAAGGUUGAUAUACUUAAUUUAUGGUUAAUUGUUUUUUUAUAUCAGGUUUAAUUUUGUUGGGGCGACAGGAAGAUUAAAUUAACUCUUUUACUAUAUUUAUUACUGAUUAGUAAUAUAAAGAUCCCUUUUAUGGAUUAUUAGAUUAAAUUACCUUAGGGAUAACAGCGUAAUUUCUUUGGAGAGUCCUUAUCGAUGAAGAAGUUUGCGACCUCGAUGUUGGAUUAAAAUUAAUUUUAAGUGCAGAAGCUAUAA
rnacentral:rRNA from 1 species